AAUUAAGAUUGCUAGGAGUCACCAUUAACAUGUAAUUAAGAUUACUAGAAACAGUUUUAUAUGCAAGAUGUGUAAGAAUAGUAAAAUGUGUUUUUUUUUUUUUUUUGGUAAAAGGUUAUAAAGGGUUUUUGCUUAAAAUUUCUGAGUCAUCAUUUUGGCAAAAUAAGUAAUUUAGGGCAAUCUGGAAUUCCAAAAUCAAACUUCAGUUUCAAAAUUGUCUUUUCUAAUGCCUGGCUUUUUGGAUGGAUCAGAUGGCCCCUGAAAACAUCCAGAAAAGAGUUAUAAUAGAGUUGGAUGAACAGAAAAGUAUCUAUGCUGCAGCUGGCACUUAUGACCUACGGAAAAAUACAUUAAAUGAAGAUUAUGGAAAUUCAGUGAAGGAGAUGAGACUGCUAAGUUAAAGACCAUCUAGCUUCAGAUGAUCAUGCAACAAAGGCUCCAGCCAAUUCCAGGUAAAGACACCACCCCUGGCCAUCAAGGAGAUACCCUGCCUCCACUAGAGAGAGCAGAGUGAGAGUUCUGUGAUCCUCAAUAGGUAGAAACUACACCCCAAGCCAGCAUGAAGCAGCUACAGAAGAAAGACCAGCUGUCCCUCUGCCUCCCAUAAAGAUUUAUGAAGAUCACAUCUCUCAGUGGGGAAAUGAGUCAAGAAAAUAAUGUCUGGAGGCAGGGAACAUAAGGCCAAUUAACACUUCAGCUAUGACAGGAAAUAUCCUUUCCAUAGGGUGUACACUAAGUGACUUCGUAACCUUACUUUGUCCUCUUCAUUUACAUAGGGCAUACAGCAAGUAACCAAUGGAAACUGCUAGAGUGUAUUUAAACUCCCACAAAUUCUGUAAUGGGGCCCUAUGCUCAUGCCCAUUACCACACUGUGAAGUGUACUUUCAUUUCGAAUAAAUAUCUCCUUUUGCUACUUUAUUC
rnacentral:lncRNA from 10 species